rnacentral:rRNA from 1 species
GAUGAACGCUCGCUACAGGCUUAACACAUGCAAGUCGAGGGGCAGCAUGGUCUUAGCUUGCUAAGGCCGAUGGCGACCGGCGCACGGGUGAGUAACACGUAUCCAACCUGCCGUCUACUCUUGGACAGCCUUCUGAAAGGAAGAUUAAUACAAGAUGGCAUCAUGAGUCCGCAUGUUCACAUGAUUAAAGGUAUUCCGGUAGACGAUGGGGAUGCGUUCCAUUAGAUAGUAGGCGGGGUAACGGCCCACCUAGUCUUCGAUGGAUAGGGGUUCUGAGAGGAAGGUCCCCCACAUUGGAACUGAGACACGGUCCAAACUCCUACGGGAGGCAGCAGUGAGGAAUAUUGGUCAAUGGGCGCAGGCCUGAACCAGCCAAGUAGCGUGAAGGAGGACUGCCCUAUGGGUGGUAAACUUCUUUUAUAAAGGAAUAAAGUCGGGUAUGUAUACCCGUUUGCAUGUACUUGAUGAAUAAGGAUCGGCUAACUCCGUG